UGCCGCCAUAUUGAAUUUAUCAACUUGUAUCAACUUCAACCGAAGUAUCGAUCGCUUUCGAUAAUAUAAUCGAUCGAACGUUGGUAUACAUUGAACGUAUUUUGAUUUUAUAACAAGAAAUUUUUUAUAAAUAAUAUAAUAUUAAAAUGAUGGAAGAGAAAAAUUAGUAUCAAGUAGAAAUAAUCGUGACUGAAUGUAUCAGUGACGUGAUAGGUGAAAGGUUCAAUGAAUGUUGGCAAAGAUCCGCUUUGGAAAAUUGAUCUUUUAUCUUCGAUACAUCGAUUUUAUUUGACUAUACGAAUAACGGAAAAUCUUGGAAAGAAAUUUCUAAGCGGUUAAUUAAUUGAUCCCGCUGAUGAGGAUUUUGCUCGGAUAGGUUAGGAUCAAUUAAACGACUACUUUUUUUUUUCUAAAAACAAUACGUUACGUUUUCGAAUUUCAUCUCGACGAGGAAAAACAGGUAACUUUCUAUAAAAGUUUAAAGAAGAAACGACAAGUUUUUCUGCAGGAGAACUAAUUAUUCUUGUUUCAAAUUACACGCAUGCGCGCAACGAGGAUGGAAUAUUCAAGGUUAUAACAAAGAAUAAUGACCGGAAGAUACAUGUAUGUACAUAUGUAUUUAUUCGAACGACUGAAAAAAACUAGCUGCCAUAUAUCGAAGACAGAACGAUACGGACUGGCACUAGACAGAUCUGAACGGAAUCUAUCUGGAAUCGGUUAUCUACCCGGUGCAUGUGUACCUUGCUGCCGUAUAUGUGCAUCCUUUCAAGGAUAACAUCGGCAGGAUGCUUAAGCCUUUCUCGUUCGAUGACGUAUUCUCAAUAAUAUUGGCUCUUUCAGAAGUACAAGGACGCAUCAAUGUUCAGAAAAGAUAGAUAUUUUUCGGGAUUCUACUAGAGGGCAUUAAUCGAACCAUCGGUAAAGAAAAUUGCAUAUCAUAAGGAGCUUGGCAACAAUCUCGUGACGAACAUUGAUUGAUUGAAAUGACGAAAAUGAAAUUCCAAAAGACGUGAGAUAAACAACAAGUAUCUUGGUGGCACGCGCUUCUAAGAUAUUUUAACGUUUCUCGUCACGAAUUGCCAGGAAACGUGUUCUCUGUAAGAAAACAGGUAGUCCUUUAGAGGCAACCAUCAAUUCGGACGUCAUAGGAGAUGACACGUUCCAUUUCGUCAACAUCUUUUUCCUUUUUAAUUUCGUAUCAGGUUGCGAAUUUUCUCAUCUCCUUUGGCGCGCAUCACGAUGAACGGAGGUGCGGUGUGUUGGGAACGGGAGAAACGGGAGAAACGGAGAAAGAUAACGAACCGUACGAGAGUGAGACGCGUCGUGAAAAGAGAGGAACGAAUGAGGGGACAGAGGCGGAGUGCACCGCUCGUACCAGGCGGUGCGCCCUGGUACCAACGGCACGCCGGUAGACUGGUAGACUCGGCCAGACUUAGUUAGUGAGACGCGAUCAGGAGUCGAGGAGGGGAAGAAGCCAGAGAAGUGCACUCGCCUACCUCGCCACAAUCUUUUUUCCACGAUCCUCUCGCGAUCCCCUCGCGACCUUCUCUAGCCAAACAGGCUCGAUAGGGACUUCUCCUGUCGAGGAAACCUACACUCUUUCAUACCGGGUACACGUUUCUUAAUCAUUUAUCAUCCACCUGAUUAUUUUUUUAGCAAGAUUUCAGAAAUAUGUUAAAGGAAAGGUUUUAAAUGAGGAAACAGCAUCAAAUGAGAUUCUAUAAUAUUAUGUUUAUUAUUACCACUGGUAAAGUGGUCAAGCGAAAGCAUUCGUUGUACUAACGUUGCUCUAUCGUAAAUCCCUGAGAAUAUACACAUUCCAUGCUCAUACACCAGGAUCUCAAUUAUUACAAAUCACUUUCACCCAUUGUUCCAUGUGGAUGUGUGUAAUUACACGACUGAUUGCUGUAGGGAAACAUAUAUUUGACUAUGUAUGACUCAGCAGCGAUGGUCGUAUUUAUAAGGUGGUCGUGCCAGUGACCAGAAUCUCUCUUAAUCCUUAAUUGCUGACGUAAAAAGUCUUGCUUGACCUCGUUGCAUUUUCAAAUAAAGCAUAAAACAUUAGCCAAACUAAAAUUAAACAUUCAUACACAUAUAAUGUAAAACAGAACGACUGGAUCAGUAACGUAGAAGGAGGAUUGGAAAAUUUUGUUUUCAAGCAAGCAAGCAAAUGUUAACUGCAAAAAGACAUGAGACAUAAUUCUAGCUUAAUAGCCCGUAAUUUGUGUCUAGGAUGGAAUCGAAGAAUCUUUGAUGUCAUGUAACGGAUGACCGAUAAAUACAAACCUUGUCCCGAUUCUGUCCAGCCAAUCUAGAUUCACUUGACGAAAGAACGAUGACCCGAAAACUUGGUCAUCGAACAUCAAAAGGAGGUACGAACGUACACGACCUUAAUUUCGCUCCGGUGUCUUUGACUGCUGCUGCAAUUGCCUGAUGUGUCGAUGCCCAUCGGUGCUAAUCAGAUUACGUGUUCGAAGCUUCUUAAAGGCAAAUCGUUUGCGAAUGAAACAGAUUUUGCAAACCAAGACUGUCAUGGUUUAUAAUACAGGUUUAAUUAGCUGUUUACGCGUAUAGAGUUCUUAUUAGAGAACAUCAAGUUGCAAAUAUCAAUCAUGAAUAAAGAUGACUCUUUGCUAUAUAAAAUAAGGUCAUCGUUACAUAUGUUACAUUACCGGAUGUCAGAAUUAAAAUUAAACACGACCAUGAAAAACUGCAGGAAAGGUAUAUGUACAUACAUAUCGCUCCACGUAAUACCUUAGAAGAGUCUAACGAUGUCGACAAGACAAUUUGAAACUCGGCUGCGCCUAAAUGGAAAUACCGUGUCGUUUUAUAGAAAGCGUACCCUUAAAGGCACUACAGACGAAUUCGUUCCUCUCGUGACGCUUAUGGCCAUACAACUCUCCUACAAAAUGUGGAAGAGGGAAUUGAAAGUGUGCAGAAAGAUUCACACGCGCAACCAAAGAUCCUGGAUAUAAUUAUAGCAAGUGAUUACGUUAUUCAUUGAUUAAAUAUCGAAAGGAUAGAAAAUUGCCAACGGGUUGUGCAGAACGCUUAAGAAGCUCCCUUCACCCACGGUAUUAAUCGAGCAUUCGUCUCUCCGUGGCCUUGCAAACACGUACUACAAGUACAGUAGGAUAGACAGCUUGUACUCCUGCGAGGUGUAUCACACAGUCAUCAAGCAUCAUCGGUCGUAAAUUAGAAAGGCGGCAGUGUGAUUCGACGGUGUCGUUAGGGUCGAGGGAAGAAAAGCCAGGAAUCUUAAAUAGAGGCAACACGAGGCCCGGCAUUCGUAUUCUUCUUUCUCGUUGAUAUUCUCUGAUCGUGGCUCGAUGCGCCUUCCUAAAGGUUUUCAGGUCGUCUGCCAUCAUUCGCAUUUACCAUGUAUAUACUACUCGCUAAACUUUAACGUCUAAAGUUUUACCAUCGGUGGUUCAUUGUUAAAAUUUUUCCUGAAAAUCCUAUAUCAUUAGGAUUUUCAGCAUUAUUUCAGCAUUAUUUCAGCAUUAAAUAAGAAACGUGAAAAGUUGAGUAAGAAAAAAAAACUGAACGGUUUCACUGUAUAAUAAUUGCAUAUAGUAGAUAUAAUUAACGUUAGAUGUUCAUCCACGAAGGAUAGUUUUAAAAUAAUAGAUAAAUCACAGUUGGUUGAAGUUAUACUGGCAAGCACGCUGACAUUAAGAAUUGCUAUUCAGUCAACGGCAACCCAGAACCGCUAGAUUCGUGCUAUUCGUGCUCUCUUAUAAUCCCAUGGGUGAAAGUUGCAGUGUUUCCCACGCGAUCGACUAGUGGACGAAUCAAUGAAAUCUCUGCACUUUUGUCCUAUCCGUCUCUACGCUUAUUCAAUCGUUCAUUCAACCACCUGUUUACACGUUUAUCAUAUGCAUCAUUUUGUCUAAUUAUUUUCCUUCUAUCUAUAGUACUCUGAAACUAUCUAUAAUCGUACACUUCACUUUAUUGCGUUAUUUAUAUUUGUUAUUCGCAGUGUGGUGUAUUUCUUACAGGAUGUAUGUAUACAAGGAUACUUGAAGGGAUCGUGUUUCCUAAGAUUUAACAGCUUCUCAGUUCCAAAAGACCGAUGACUGAGGUUGGUAUCGCGCGACACACAAACAGUGCAGGAGGACAUAGAAACAAAGAAAUAAUGAGCAAGAGAAAGAGAAAGAGAAAGAGAAAGAGAAGGAAGGAAAGAAAGAAAAGUGUAGAGAAGGCAGAAGGAGAACGUAGAAUCGGGGAUGCAUGGUCCCGCUAUCCGGUCGGCCGCUAGGCCGAGGUCAACGAACCUCGGCCCGCCUACCGACUUGACUUUACCUGCCAGCCUCGAACCUGCCAACCUGGCUAACUUGCUCGACUCCGAAGAGUGACACGCGUGACACGCUUGACAAGAGAAGAUUUAUUGUAUAAAGCGAAUGGUUGAACGGCUACUAAAUUAGCAUCGAAGACUGUACUCUCGAUUUUAUACGAUAAUACAUUGAAGACAAGCUGCCACGUGAAGGAGAAGAUAAUAAGAUAAUCGUAUCCCUAUGAAUUCUCCGGAAACCGUUGAACUUGAUCUACAGUAAUAUAGCGAACCUUUCACGAGUUCAGAGAAGUCCAUCGACCUUGAACCGGAGAACUAGAGAAAAAAAAUCUUUAGAAUAAACACGAUCGUGUUACUGUUUUACGCGUCUAUCCUUUGUACAAUAUUCCACGCGUAUAACUUCUUUGUCAGAGAUCAUUCUUUUUGCCAUUUUAACUAAAUCGUAACCUACUUUCUUUAUAAAUUAGAAAUUGAAUAAUUUGUAUUAUAUAUGUACAUAUGUUGACAUAAUAACGGUUACUAUUACGACUAUCUAUUAACCAACUAUCUAUUAUAGUUUACCGAUACUUUACAAUCACUGCCGGCAAUAACGGUUUUUACCAGACGUAUGUGUAAACUCGUCGAAGAGAAAUGAGUUAAUUCUUGGUUUUUAACAUCGGUCAAGCUUCCAUUCAGCUGUUUCGUUUCAUUUCAUUAAUGUUUUACACAUAUGUAUAUGUUUUCAGAAUCACUGAUCUAAUGGAUUGGCUAAUAACGCUUCAAGAGACACAUAAAAUAUUGCCAUCCUCAAUUUAUCCAAGAUGAUUGAUAUUUGAAACGAAGGGUGCGCUUGGUCUUCCGUUUUUUUUUUCUUCGAGGUCAAAGGAAACGAUGUUUCCUGAAUACACAAGAGGAUAGCGGUAAAUAAUUAAACUUUGAUUAAGGGGAGAAGCUUAAUGAAAUACAAUGCAGGAAAAUUGCACUGUUUAUAGAAAUAGUCUAAAUAAGAUUGUUAUUAUCGCGAUCACGAGUAUCGAGGCUGGUAGAUCCUCCUGUACGGUGCAUGUGCAGUUAUUAGUACGAGAAAAAGAAGUGGCACGAAUCAGUCGGUCGAUGAAACCCAAGAACCUUGCACUCAACAGUUGCCUGACUUUAUGGAUGAGCACGUGCUAUUGGCUAAGAAAUUAGAAAAACUAUUUAAAAAAAAGGAGGUACUGCAGAAAUGCCAUCAAUCCCUGAUAUACAUAAGGUGUAAUUAUGGUAUGUACAAAUUCAACAAGCUCUAACAACUUUUGUUCUCCUCAUUCGGCAUCACUGUUGCAGCCAACUCGUUUCUCAGCCACGGAAAGGUAUGGCUCUUGUAACUCGUGUCAAAAUACAAUACGGUGAUCGCAUGAAACGGUUUCAGAUUACGCAGAUCCGUACCUGCAUGGAUACACCCUCGAGUUCUUUUUUUCUGUUUUGACAAUUUAGGUGAUUCAGUCCAGCGAAUUAGCAAAGAAAAAAAAAAAACAUCCCAUACUUGAUCGAAGCUCAAGAGCAAAAUGACUGGCCUUCUCUGAUUGUAACAUUUGUAUAUUAAUGCAAGGCAAUGGUAACUAAAAUUCUAUCCGGAAUUCUAUCUGGAAGAAGGCCAGGGAAUGGGAAUCAUCGAGAAUUCGGAGCAUUCUGUUGAUCGUGUUUACUACAAGUUCGAAAAACCGGUUUUCCUCUCUCCAUAAAACUUGGACCUGUGGAUGGCGCAUUAGAAGCUUCGCGUUACGGUAGCUCUCUCCAUGCAUGGUAUCGAUCAUCAAAAUUUACAUCCUACAAAUUAUUAUCAAUUUCACCUUCUAAAAAAUAAUCGACAAAUAUUUUAUCAGUCCAGGUAUGACAUACAUCUGACUUAACUCCCUCCAGGUUAAAGAAAGGAAAGAAUUCUCUGGGAAUGAAGAAGAAUUUUCCAUCGUUUCGUUUUGUUUUCAAAAUAUCCCGAUCAGUUUACAGAGAAACUAAUACAUAUACACUUGUAUACUACAAGUGAAACACCGGUUUCGUAAAAAUUCCGCGUGUUGUUUGUCUGUAUUUAUUCGGUUUGCCGCCAGAACCGUUCCAAGUGUUAGCUGCGUCUCCCUCGAACGGAUUAGCGAAUGAGAAAACGCGUGAAAACGACGAAGAAUCCUAUUACAAUGUCCUGUAUACAUAUCGCGGUUUCAUUCGAAACUAUAAUACGUUUUUCACGAAUAUUAAACACCAGUAAUUUCCCAUUUGAUUAGAUAUAAUUCGAGGAACGAAAUAUUUAUUCAGAGAAAUGAGAGCCUGUUGUAUAAAUAUUUGUUCAUUCAACGUAUGUACAUACAUACGUUUGCAUUUUCUCGCAUCUUUCUCGCGUGAUAAGAUGGCGCAACAGGCAAAUGAAGUAUCUUCGUUUCUUUUUUAUUUGCCCCACCGACGCAAUAAACGUAUGGAAAUAAUGUGAAACGCAUUUAAAUUGCAACAUAACAAAGGAAUAUGAAUUAUAAGAAUUUUGUUUCAUUUCCAUUACGGUACAUGUAAUGGAUACAAGAUUGGUACUGACACGGUAAACAGAUUUCACUUCUGUCAGCUGAGUGAAAAUGUCCCCCUGUACCUAUAGUAUGACGGUCAAUUAUUCAGGUAACUGCAUUGUAUGCGCGCAGAAAGAUAAAUGGUAAUUCGUUCACUGCUAAAUUUAACUUCCUGUACCCGGAAAGGUCAACACUACAUUUCACAGAAGUUCACCUUCGAACCUCGAGGUCAAUGUUUACUAUCUUCUUUUUCCCUUCGUUACAUGUUUUAAUUAUAUUCAGAGAAUCUGGUAUUUCCAUUGAAAAUUUUAUUUUACUUGAACAGUACAUAUAAAGCUUUACAAGGUACAAAUAAUAAUUUGAAUCUUUUUCAGGAAAUUUAUACACCUCCAGUCUGCUGACUUUCAACUUCUAGUAGCUAUUAGGGAUUAGGAUGUCUAGUUACAUAAAAGUCGGGCGACAGCAUGGAUAUAACGGUAAACUCAAGUUAAUUCGUUAACUGCAUUCCCAUGCGAGGUGGGAUUUUUGAAAAGUCGGACGUUCGACUAAAAGCACGCGAUAAGUCGCACACCUAGCGGGAAGCAGAGAAAGCAGCAGCCAGCAGAUGAAAAACCGAUCACGAUUUCAACGUUUUCAAAUUUCAGCAAAUUUCAUCUACAAGAGGAAAUCAGGAGUCUGAUGGCGGCAACCUGUGCGAUCCCGGCCAACGCUAGGAUUAGCAGAAAUCCAUCAAGGACCGAGUACAAAGUUUUCGUUCCUAAAGUAUUCCCGGAAGCGCGGUUACCACCAACGAGGAGCGUGCGUGGCCGGCGUGGCCCCGCAGCCACUGCCAUCGCACCGUCCUUCUCACCGCACACCGUUCACUUUAAUUUUUCUAUCUCCACUGUUAUUCUGCCGGCACAACGAUUCUCGAGGUAAAUCCUUUAUCUGUGACCGCGACGAAAUUUUAUUAUUUCUUCCGAACUUUAAUCGAGGCCAAAAUACAAGAAUGUCAAAAGCAAUAUUAAUAAUCAAUGUUUCAGGUGAGAAUGAAAAAUGAGAAUCUUCUUCUCGAAGACGAACGACACUUGUUUCAACGAAGUGGAAUAAUUUAUUACACGUAUACACGCUUUUCAAAAUAAAACGUGCAAUUCUUAAGAUAAAAGAAAAAAGGAACAAAAGUACGAAAAAAUGAAGGGAAAAAAAACGCGAAAAGCAUCAACGACUCUCGGAAUCAGUUCAUAGCUCUCGCGUAAACGACAUUUACGCGGCCGCGGUCAGCGAACGACUAACUUGAUGGCGCGUACUUUACCGGAUGGAGGGGUUUCUUCCCAACACUCGAUUUACCAGGCAUGCGCAGAGAAGGGAUUCUAAGGACCACGUGUGGUAAAUCCUGUCCGGGAUAGUAUUCGGCUAGCGAAUACCUGCGACCGGUGUGACACGAAUCUUAAACACGACAUAAAAUCCGAUCAUUCAAAAUAAUUCAUUAAUGACCAACAUACAUAAUGCAUCUGAUAAUCUUUUUUUCUAUAACAAUUAUUUCAACUUUGGCUACUAAAUCUUACUGAAAAAGAAAAUUUAAUCUUUAAGUUAACCACCUCUGAUGAUUAGAGAUUAAUUAACACUAUAGGAUACACGAUUACCAUUUUCUUUUUUUUUAAUUUCAAUUCUGUGAUUUACAAAUCCAUCGGUGUUUUUAGGGUCUGGCGUGAGGUACGCAAAAAAUUCUUUUACCUGUUCCUCGAAGGAUGCAUAGAAAGCGAAUGUAAACAAGAUGAACUUACCUGACCUGAGGUAAACGAGUCGAGUUUUAUCAAAAGGAUACAAUUAAGAAAAUGAAAAAUAUUAAUCCUAUAAGUACAUAUAAGGGAGAAGAAACAAAACGAGGGAGCAUACUCUAUCUGAAAGGAAAAUGGUAAUUUAUCUUUGCAUAUAUGUAGAACACUCUUUAUGAAUGAAGUUGUAUCGUUAA